AAUGUGUGGUGUACUGUACUAUUUUUGAUGAACAACAGAAUUUUGUUUUUUGAUCUUGCAAGCCUUAAUAUCGUGCCCUUGAUGUUUACAGAACUCACAAUACUUUGGUUGAUUGUCGAAAACAAUUUGUUGAUGAAACUCGACAGAUUUAAUUCCAGCUGUUUAGCAAUGUGCAAUAAAUCUUUACCGUAGCUUCACAGUGAACUAAGAAAAACCCGAGAAAUCCGAGAAAAUUCGAGACUGAAAAACCCGACUAUUAUAGGUUUGGUUUGGUGUAUAGAUUUAAAAAUCCGAUAUA
rnacentral:lncRNA from 1 species